UACGGGGGGAGCAAGCGUUGUUCGGAAUCACUGGGCGUAAAGGGUGCGUAGGCGGGUCUUUUAAGUCAGGGGUGAAAUCCUGGAGCUCAACUCCAGAACUGCCUUUGAUACUGAAGAUCUUGAGUUCGGGAGAGGUGAGUGGAACUGCGAGUGUAGAGGUGAAAUUCGUAGAUAUUCGCAAGAACACCAGUGGCGAAGGCGGCUCACUGGCCCGAUACUGACGCUGAGGCACGAAAGCGUGGGGAGCAAACAGG
rnacentral:rRNA from 1 species